rnacentral:rRNA from 1 species
AGUCUGNAACCCGACNCCGUGAAGCUGGAUUCGCUAGUAAUCGCGCAUCAGCCAUGGCGCGGUGAAUACGUUCCCGGGCCUUGUACACACCGCCCGUCAAGCCAUGGGAGCCGGGGGUGCUUGAAGUGCGUCGCCGCAAGGCGCGCCCUAGAGCAAAACCGGUGACUGGGGCUAAGUCGUAACAAGGUAUC